GGGGAUUUAGCUCAGUGGUAGAGCACUUGCCUAGCAAGCACAAGGCCCUGGGUUCGGUCUCCAGCUCCG
rfam:Rattus norvegicus chromosome 1, whole genome shotgun sequence.